ACUUAUGGCCAUAUCACGCUGAGAGCACCGGUUCUCAUACGAUCACCAAAGUUAAGGAAUGUCGAGUCGAGUGAGUACAUAGAUGGGUGACUGCUUGGGAACCCUAGGUGCUGUAAGCG
rnacentral:rRNA from 1 species